CCUACGGGCGGCAGCAGUGGGGGAUAUUGCACAAUGGGGGAAACCCUGAUGCAGCGACGCCGCGUGGGUGAAGAAGUAUUUCGGUAUGUAAAGCCCUAUCAGCAGGGAAGAAAGAAGACGGUACCUGACUAAGAAGCCCCGGCUAACUACGUGCCAGCAGCCGCGGUAAUACGUAGGGGGCGAGCGUUAUCCGGAUUCACUGGGUGUAAAGGGAGCGUAGACGGCCGUGCAAGCCAGGAGUGAAAGCCCGGGGCCCAACCCCGGGACUGCUCUUGGAACUGUGCGGCUGGAGUGCGGGAGGGGCAGGCGGAAGUCCUGGUGUGGCGGUGAAAUGCGUAGAUAGCAGGAGGAACACCGGCGGCGAAGGCGGCCUGCUGGACCGCGACUGACGUUGAGGCUCGAAAGCGUGGGGAGCGAACAGGAUUAGAUACCCUGGUAGUC
rnacentral:rRNA from 1 species